UUUGACUAUAUGGACCUUUGUCGCCAAAGUGCUGUGUCUGUGAUACAGCUCCUAAGGCCUCAGUGUGCCCCGUCUACUAAAGGGGAGCAGCAAAACCAGGCCUUCGAGUAUGCUGUGAGCCUACACCAGAGCAUGCAGCCACUUGCAGUUCCCAAUGGGCUCUGGGAGAAAGCAAGAGUGAAGUGAGGGCUCUCCUUCUCUGCUGCAGUUCCUGGAGGAAGCGGCCGACAAGAUUCUUGAGGUCUUUCCGGGAAUAUGGACGCACAUACAAACACCGUGAUCAUGGGCUGUUUUUAUUUUCACCAAAUGGCACCAAGGAGCACAUUGCUCUGUAGUGUCCGCUCUCCAGCAGAGCUGGGUCUCUCCCCAGAAGGGGUGUGGCAUCGCAGGAGCCGUGCAGCCUCCUUGAGGCCUGGGGUCACAGUCCCACUGACGGACCCUAGGCCGUUUCCAGUUCUUCCAGGCAUAUGCUUUGGCAGUGGUCUCUGAGGGUACUGUUUGACCAGAUGCUUAAGACUGUGAUGGAGACACAGGCAGCCCCAUGAAAACCAGGCUGGAGCAGCGAGGUGGCUAUCAAGGGGGAGGAAUUUAUGUCUGCCUUCUUCAGCUAGUCAACAACCUGGCCCCGAAAGAGUGGUCCCACCUCCAGGAGGCCUACCACACCCCUAGAAGGCCCAGAAUUGAGCACUGAAGAGUUGACGCUUUUGAACUGCAGUGCCGGAGAAGACUCUUGAGAGUCCCUUGGACAGCAAGGAGAUCCAACUAGUCAAUUCUAAAGGAAAUCAGUCCUGAAUAUUCAUUGGAAGGACUGAUGUUGAAACUGAAUCUCCAAUACUUUGGCCACUUGAUGUGAAGAGCUGACUCAUUAGAAAAGACCCUGAUGCUGGGAAAGAUUGAAGGCAGGAGGAGAAGGGGAUGACAGAG
ensembl:lncRNA